rnacentral:rRNA from 1 species
AGUGAACGCUGGCGGUAUGCCUAACACAUGCAAGUCGAACGGCAGCACAGUAAGAGCUUGCUCUUACGGGUGGCGAGUGGCGGACGGGUGAGGAAUACAUCGGAAUCUACUUUUUCGGGGGGGAUAACGUAGGGAAACUUACGCUAAUACCGCAUACGACCUACUGGUGAAAGCAGGGGAUCUUCGGACCUGUCGCGAUUGAAUGAGCCGAUGUCGGAUUAGCUAGUUGGCGGGGUAAAGGCCCACCAAGGCGACGAUCCGUAGCUGGUCUGAGAGGAUGAUCAGACACACUGGAACUGAGACACGGUACAGACUCCUACGGGAGGCAGCAGUGGGGAAUAUUGGACAAUGGGCGCAAGCCUGAUCCAGGCAUACCGCGUGGGUGAAGAAGGCCUUCGGGUUGUAAAGCCCUUUUGUUGGGAAAGAAAAGCAGCAGGUUAAUACCCCGCUGUUCUGACGGUACCCAAAGAAUAAGCACCGGCUAACUUCGUG